rnacentral:other from 1 species
UACCCCCUGGAGUGCUCGUGCCAGUUGUCAUCGCUGGCCUCACAAGCAUUCAACAAGGGAAUUGACGAAAAUUCGGUGUGCAGGCCCGGGAUACGCCGGGAAGCCUGAUGAUUUUUCCGAUUUUCCCGCCGUAGGCAUGAACAGGUCCUGCGGGAAGGCAUCUGCACGGCUCAUCCGGGGUUAGA